CUGGGACCAUGUUUCAAAAUAAAUUAUGUGUUAAAGAGAGUGGUUUUUGUAAAUGUUACAUGGUGAGCCUUGGGCCUAAGCGCUUAAAAGGUGAGGGUUUUUUUUUUUUUUUAACAAGAUGUAGUAUAAACAGACCAUUUUGGGGGCUUUAGAGUUGAUUUAGGCUGGUUCCAGUACAUUUUGGAUGUUUAAGAGUUGUUUAUAGUGGAAUUUGUAGAUUUUGGCAGGAAUUUGGCCGGUGUGCUACAAGGUGGUAUGGCGAGCACCUUGUGUACCUUUGACUGCUAGGGUUUCCACUUACGGAAGCAUUGAUUGUUUAAGUUAAUUGGUAUGACUUUGGGGAAACAAAACUAUUAGCCCUCAAUUGAGUAUUCAUGUCUACACCUUCAAUACUUGCAACUUUCACAUAAAAUUUGUUCUUAAAUAACCGACGAGGAAAAGAAAUAGUUGGAAAUUAGAGUAGCAUAUUAAAGUGCAUGAUACUUGCAUUAUUAGUCUAAUUUAGGGGUGCAAACGACUCGGCUCGAGCUCGAGCUCGGCUGUUAGUUAUUUUUUCAAGCUCGAGCUCGGUUUGGACUCGGCUCGUUUAUUAUUUAUUAAUUAAUUCAUAUUCAUUAUAAUUAUUGGUUUAAAUAUAAUUUAGUUUUUUUUUCAAAUUUUUAAAAUUAGUUAUUAAUUUAUUAUUAUUUUAAUAUAUAUUUAAUAUAUUGAUUAAAAAAUUAUGUAAACAGUGGGCUCAUUUAGGCUCGUGAGCCGACUUGAGCUCGAUAAGCUCGGGCUCGGGCUCGUUUAUUUAACAAACUUGUUUUUAGGCUUGGGCUUGAGCUCCUUUAAGCUAGGCUUAUUUUGAGUUUUCUUUGGAGCCAAGCUCGUCUCAUUUGCACUCCUAUAGUUGCAUCUUGGUAGUUCAAACGUACAUAGUCUUUUUAAUCUUUUAUCAUUAACCCCAUAAAGAUGGAUGCCUGUAAUCUUUCAUAGUUGUGAAAAUAUGGUAUUUAGUGUCUGUGUUCAGAUAUGUUUUCCAUGGAGUUGCUAGCCAUAAAACAUAUAGAUUUGGUCUUCAUACAUGAAUGCUUUUACAUAUAGAUUUGGUCUUCAUACAUGGCCGUUUUUGCGUAUAGAUUUGGUCUUCGCUGAUGUUGUUGCUACUGAGCUCAAAACAAAACUCUUCAGCAAAUCAGGGUCUUUCUUUGUCAAAAGAAGUAAGUUCGAUGACCAGGUCGAGUCCUCAAACAAUAACAAAUAAGUGGUCUCACCAAGUUGGUAUUGUUCUUGCAGUUGAUGUGGCUGUUUGUUUGAUACUAUUUAUUGUUUGGCUUGUGGUGUGUCGUGGAACCGAGUGUAUUCGUUAAGAUGGGAUUCAUCAUUGAAUGGAUCAGAGAAACGUGUCUUUGUUCUUUGAAUUCCGUUGAGAUAGUAUAUGGAAGCUGCACGUGAUUCCGGAGUGAUGAUAUGGAGACUGAACAAAAGGUUGUAGACAUACUGCCACCCGCAAGCCAGAACGAAACUUUGACUCAGUUGAUUGGUCAACCUGCCUAAACUUGAGCAACUUUCUGCAGAAGAAAUAUCAGCAGCUGCUUGUGAUGAUAAACCAAAUCGUUUGGCAGUGGGCCGCCUUUCUAACGACAUGUGCAAGAUAAUCGAGGAAAACACUGUUGAUUCAGUAGAAACAUAUAUUACCAACAAACCUGCGAGUUUCAAGCUGAAAAAGAACCUUCAGCCACUAGAAUCAAUACAUCAACCAUCUCACCCGUAAUUAAAACCGAGAAGAGCAAUGGUGACGUCGCGACUUCAAGUCCACAUCAGCAUGAACCGGGUCCAGUCAACGGGACUGCGACUGCUGAUGUGUACGAGGAAUAUAAACUAACAGUUACAUCAUACUUUCCAAAUUGUGUGUAUGAGGAUCUUACUCUCAUAUCUGAUGACUGUAAAAUUACAUCCAUCACUAAGUUGUCACUUUUAGCCCAUAUAAGACAAUUAUUGCAUUGUGUUCUUUUGACCUACAAUUAUGGUACCGUUGUAAGAUGCAACAGAAGUCAUGUUGUGAGGUAUAUGUUGACCAAUUUGUAUCUCGUCGAACCCGAAUUCGCUUGCUUUACAAGAACAGUUGUUGCCGGUUAUACGAGGGUUAAUUGGGUCGCUAGAAAA